UUAGGAAGAUCAAUGUUUUGGUUCGUUUGAUCUCGGUUUGUUUUAGAAAUCUGUGUUAGUGUGUUUGACAAGGCCGCAAGUCUCUUCCAUACCAAGUUAGAACUCUUGGAUGUGGAGUUCAUUUGCUUAUAAUAUGUUACUAAUGUAUGCAACUUAUGUUACCGUCACUACUGCAUUCAACCUUCGAGCAUUUGACUCUGCCGUCACAUCAUGCUAAAAAGAAAAGCGUCGGACUCUACGUACGAAUCAACCACUGGUUACUCCACCCACCACACACAGAAACAACAUUCACCUACAAGCAGUUAAGUUCUCAUACCAACUCAAUUGGCGAUUAAGAAAUCAUACGCUACUCAUUCCCAUGAAUUCACAUCAACACUUCUUAAAGUGAGUGGUAUGAUGUUAAUAAAUAUUCGACGAUGAACUCUCACCGAAACAUUUACUCCUCAAUCCUCAUCCCACCCCCCCCUUUUCAACCUCUGCGCACACUUCCACCUGAACCAUAAGCUCGCUCUUGGAUUUAAAACACAAAAUAUAUUCGACAUUAACCUCAAAAGUCUUAAGUCAUUAAUACAAAUACUUUACAGUCCCUCCCGUAUUCAGAUAACCUCACAUCCUCUUCUUACAAAGACAAAUCACACGUAUCUCACAACACCAAAAAUCUACCGUUAAGUUUAGAAAACAACCAAUGAAUCACACAUACGAUUUCCAAACAAACAACAACUCAGCAACUACGACAUACAACCGAGAUGGUGCAAACUUCAAACAACAUAAAAUUGAGAGCGAGAGCGAUACUUACCUGACACAAGUCGAUUAUUAUGUUCCCCUAAAGACAACACAAACGGCUCCUAAGCAAAAAAAAAAGUUUUUACCUGCACUCUUCUCCAAAGACACAUCUUACCGCGACGUAAACUACUAGCCAAAUUUGGGCACGUUCAUAUUUAAAAAAAAAAUAGUAACCUGGACUCAUAAUCUUUCACAUAACCCUCAAUAUUCAAAGCCCACAAAAAACACAACAAACUCAAUAUAUAUCAUCAAACAUAGCAUAAUAUUUAUUCACAUUUUUAUUACUCUUGAAAUAUAAAUCAAU
rnacentral:lncRNA from 1 species